rnacentral:ncRNA from 1 species
GAAAUUGCGCUGAAGGGUAGCAGUAGACAUGAAUCCACUUCCAGAGAGCCGGCAUCAGGUGAAAGCCGGCAGUGAAGAGUGUUGAAUCCGACCUGGAGCUUCAAGGGGGUAAGAAACCCUUGACGGACGAUUCCCGUUAUCAAAUCAAGAGGCCGGCUGCAGCCGGCAAAAUAAGGUGGCACCACGUGGAUAAUCCCCGUCCUUGAC